rnacentral:rRNA from 1 species
UCAUAGAAUUUUUAAAAAUUCAUGAUGUCGUAAGGGAAAAUAAUGAUAAUACCUUACUAUGAGUGUCGUCCAAAUCUGGUGCCAGAAGACUCGGUAAGACCAGAGACGCAAACGUUAAUCAUCAUAAACAGGCGUAAAGGGUUUGUAGGCAGCUUUUAUAGGAUUAUUAUAAAAAGAUAAUCUAAAUUAAAAGCUAGAAUCAAAAAGAGGUUAUAGUGUAUAACGCCUAGAGGAGGGCUGAUAUCCGUAGAUCCUAGGCAGAAUACUCAGGGCGAAGGCCACUCUCCAUUAAUGAUUGACGCUGAGAAACGAAGGUUAGGGUAGGAAAUAGGAUUAGAUACCCCGGUACUCCUUUCUGUAAACGAUGAAUGGUAGUCAUUAGUAAAAAAAAAUAACUAGAGGCGAAGUUAACACAAUAACCAUUCCGCCUUGUGAGUACUACUGCAAAGUAGAAAACAAAAAAAUUAGUCGGUCUCGAAGCAAACGGAGUGAAGCAUGUUAUUUA